AGCAGCCGCGGUAAUUCCAGCUCCAAUAGCGUAUAUUAAAGUUGUUGCAGUUAAAAAGCUCGUAGUUGAAUUUCGGGAUCAAUGUGCCGGUCGUGCCUCGGUAUGCACUGGUACUUUUGAUUUCUCCCUUCUGAAGAACUUUGAUGUCAUUAAUUUGGUGUCUUAGGGAAUCAGGACUGUUACUUUGAAAAAAUUAGAGUGUUUAAAGCAAGCUCACGCUUGAAUACAUUAGCAUGGAAUAAUGAAAUAGGACGUUUGAUUCUAUUUUGUUGGUUUCUAGGAUCGACGUAAUGAUUAAUAGGGAUAGUUGGGGGCAUUAGUAUUCAAUUGUCAGAGGUGAAAUUCUUGGAUUUAUUGAAGACUAACUACUGCGAAAGCAUUUGCCAAGGAUGUUUUCAUUAAUCAAGAACGAAAGUUAGGGGAUCGAAGGCGAUCAGAUACCGUCGUAGUCUUAACCAUAAACUAUGCCGACUAGGGAUCGGAUGAUGUUAAUUUUUUAAUGACUCAUUCGGCGCCUUACG
rnacentral:rRNA from 1 species